rnacentral:tRNA from 3 species
GCUGGCGUAGCUCAACUGGUAGAGCAGCUGAUUUGUAAUCAGCCGGUUGCGGGUUCAAGUCCCAUCGCCAGCUCCA